rnacentral:sRNA from 1 species
GACUAAAAAUAUAACAUGUCUUUAGUAACCAUGUCUCUGCAUAUUCAAUCUAAUCAUAUUCAACUUGAUGUUCUUGGAAAGUUUAGUGAAGUUCUUAUCAUAAUCUUAUAUCUUACGUAUUAGUUA